rnacentral:rRNA from 1 species
UCGCCUCUUGCAAAUCAAAGCAUAAGAGGUCCCGCCUGCCCUGUGACUAUGGGUUUAACGGCCGCGGUAUUUUGACCGUGCGAAGGUAGCGCAAUCACUUGUCUUUUAAAUGAAGACCUGUAUGAAUGGCAUCACGAGGGCUUAGCUGUCUCCUCUCCCAAGUCAAUGAAAUUGAUCUGCCCGUGCAGAAGCGGACAUAAAUACAUAAGACGAGAAGACCCUAUGGAGCUUUAGACACCAGGCAGAUCACGUCAAGUAACCUUAAAUUAACAAGUAGAAACGCAGUGACCCCUAGCCCAUAUGUCUUUGGUUGGGGCGACCGCGGGGGAAAAUAAAGCCCCCAUGUGGACUGGGGGCACUGCCCCCACAGCCGAGAGCUACAGCUCUAAGCACCAGAAUUUCUGACCAAAAAUGAUCCGGCGAACGCCGAUCAACGGACCGAGUUACCCUAGGGAUAACAGCGCAAUCCUCUCCCAGAGUCCCUAUCGACGAGGGGGUUUACGACCUCGAUGUUGGAUCAGGACAUCCUAAUGGUGCAGCCGCUAUUAAGGGUUCGUUUGUUCAACGAUUAAAGUC